UAACAUGGCCGUGGCUACACCAGUAUUCUAUUACUCUGGUUGCAGUAGCGAUCGGCCCCAAUUAGCCAUAAUCGGGUUAACCACCCCGCCCCACCCCGGGAAAAGGCAAUCGGGGCUGAAUCGGGGUAACAUUUCGUCAGUCGGGGCGGGGUGGGGAGAAAAUCGAGGUUAACCCGCUUGCCCCAACGCCAUUUGCAAAAAUGGCGCCUGAAUUCAAACUAUGAAUUUGGGUCGGGUUUUUAUCGGGGCAACCGGGGCGCACACCCCGAUUUUCAUUAUAAUAAUCAAUUUCGACUCGAUCGAUUAUGUUUUUACGUCGAUCGAUUGAUUCCAAUCGGGGUUGCAUCCCCGAUUAGGCACCCCGAUACAAUCCCGAUUGAGAUCGAAGUUCAAAAAUUUUCACCCUGAGCCCCGAAUUUCCAAACCCAAUUGGAAAAAUGCGCCCCGAUUAGGGUCAGGGCCGAUCCCUAAUUCAUAGUAGUAGCCAUUAGGGCUCGGACCCGGUUCUUGAAAACCCGGUUUACCCGCGGUUCGUCGCCAAAAAAAGUCGCCCAUGAGCGAUCCGGGUAGGCUAUUUGCUAAAAUGGGUAGUUUGGGUAGGAUUUUUUUUUUCUAAUAGGUGGAUCUAAGUAUAAAGUAGAUCCUCAUCCUUGACAGGUCAACGGUCAAGCAGGUUCAAAUUGACUUGUGAUAGUUGUGAACAAGAUGGUUUAUGAAGACGCUAUAUCUUCUGUUUGCGUGGCGUCAUGUAUACAUUGUUAUAGCAGACUGUAUUCACAUUCCCAGUAUUCAAUCUAGGCAUACUCAGAAUUCUGUAUCUUACUUUUAACUUAAACUUUCAUAAUAAAACUAGAGCAGUUAUUUUAUGUUGUUUUGUUUGAACUAACAAGCAAGAAUGUCAAAGUGGUCAUUAAAUAAUUCAGUGGGGCAAAAAAGAGCAAUUUCGGCAUUGUCCAUUGUCUAAUACUAGUUCUACUAGUAUGAUCAGCAAAGAAUUAGAAGAUAGUGAUCAAGAAUGUGAUGAAUUACAAUCAAAAAGUGGAAAAAGCAUCCCUGAAGGUAUACCAAAAGCAACACCUACAAGGCAGUCAAAAGAAGAAUCUAAUAGCCCAUCUUCGUUAUUGCACUCGUCGAGCCGAAUAAACCAAGAACAAAUACCAACCGUGAAUUUCAGAGCACAAUUUAUUUAAGAACACAGAAGUAGAUCCACAAUACGCGAAGACUAGCCGGCUUUCGCGAAGCUUCUUCUUUAGGUCUGCCGGUAGCCGGAUCCGAGAAAUAACUAUUUGUCAUCUCUGACAGACAGGUGAAUCCCGGCCACUGAUCGACCUGCCCUCUACCGAGCAGUAUGCAAACAGGAUCAUACACGUAACAUCGUCAAGAUUAGGGGAAAAAAAUCAUGGGUUUGGAUGAAUUUUUCUGAGAUUUGAGGCAAGCAAAGCAAAUGCAGUUACUGUAAAAGUACCUUUGUUGUUAAUGGCACUGGUAUGAUGUCCAAACCCAUAUAUACUAAACAUCCCAACAAGAUAGAUAACACUAAUCAAAGUACAUUGGACAUUAAGGGCACAGUUGUUAGGCCAUUCAAGUUUAAUGGAAGUAUUGCUCAUGAGGCAUAUGUGGAGUUCAUUGUGACCAACCGUCACGCAUUUACGUUAUGGGAGGAGCCUGCAUUUCGAAAAUUUCUGUUACUUUUGCAACCCUUGUACAAGCCGCUUGGAGCAACGGCUGUUAAAAUUAUGCAAGCUUUUGUUGAACUGAAACUUCAAGUCAUUCCAAAACUCGGCAACUGUAAUUUAGCCCUGACCACUGAUCUGUGGACCUCCCCGAACCAUUCUUCGUUUAUGGGCAUCACUGCCGCUAUGUGGGAUGAAAAUUCCGACCAGUUGAUGUCGUCAUCGGGUUUAAACACCUAACCGGCGAACAUUCAGGUGCCAACUUGGCACUGAACUUCUAUGAAACUGUUAAAUCGUAAUAAUUCAACGAUAGAGUAAAAUUUUAUUAUUACUUUACAUUUAUAAUUUUCAUCCCGUUACACUUGUUAAGGCUUUCGCCGUAUAUCUCGUUCAAGAAAUACAAUUUUGA
rnacentral:misc_RNA from 1 species